rnacentral:rRNA from 1 species
UACGGAGGGUGCAAGCGUUAAUCGGAAUCACUGGGCGUAAAGGGCACGUAGGCGGCUUGAUAAGUCAGGUGUGAAAUCCCUGGGCUCAACCUGGGAAUGGCGUUUGAUACUGUUGAGCUAGAGUCUGGUAGAGGGAGGUGGAAUUCCAGGUGUAGCGGUGAAAUGCGUAGAGAUCUGGAGGAACACCGGUGGCGAAGGCGGCCUCCUGGGCCAAGACUGACGCUGAGGUGCGAAAGCGUGGGGAGCAAACAGG